rnacentral:rRNA from 1 species
UUCAACUUGAGAGUUUGAUCCUGGCUCAGAACGAACGCUGGCGGCAGGCCUAACACAUGCAAGUCGAGCGCGCCUUCGGGUGAGCGGCGGACGGGUGAGU